rnacentral:rRNA from 1 species
GAUGAACGCUGACAGAAUGCUUAACACAUGCAAGUCUUUGGCGAAGCUGUGCUUGCACAGCCUAGCCAAGGCGGACGGGUGAGUAACGCGUAAGGAACUUGCCCUGCAGUCAGGGAUAACAGACGGAAACGACUGAUAAGACCUGGUAAAGUCAGGCGGACUCAUGUCCAGCCUGAUGAAAAGAGAUGCUGCAGGAGAGCCUUGCGUCCUAUUAGCUUGUUGGUGGGGUAACGGCCCACCAAGGCGAUGAUAGGUAGCCGGCCUGAGAGGGUGGACGGCCACAAGGGGACUGAGAUACGGCCCUUACUCCUACGGGAGGCAGCAGUGGGGAAUAUUGGACAAUGGGGGCAACCCUGAUCCAGCAAUUCUGUGUGCACGAUGAAGGUUUUCGGAUUGUAAAGUGCUUUCAGCACGGAAGAAAAAAAUGACGGUACCUGCAGAAGAAGCGACGGCUAAAUACGUG